rnacentral:rRNA from 1 species
ACGGAAGGCAGCAGUGGGGAAUAUUGCACAAUGGGGGAAACCCUGAUGCAGCGACGCCGCGUGAGUGAAGAAGUAUUUCGGUAUGUAAAGCUCUAUCAGCAGGAAAGAAAAUGACGGUACCUGACUAAGAAGCCCCGGCUAACUACGUGCCAGCAGCCGCGGUACUACGUAGGGGGCAAGCGUUAUCCGGAUUUACUGGGUGUAAAGGGAGCGUAGACGGCUUUGCAAGUCUGAAGUGAAAGCCCGGGGCUCAACCCCGGAACUGCUUUGGAAACUGUAGAGCUGGAGUGCAGGAGAGGUAAGUGGAAUUCCUAGUGUAGCGGUGAAAUGCGUAGAUAUUAGGAGGAACACCAGUGGCGAAGGCGGCUUACUGGACUGUAACUGACGUUGAGGCUCGAAGGCGUGGGGAGCAAACAGGAUUAGAUACCCUGGUA